rnacentral:rRNA from 1 species
CGAGCGGGCCCUUCGGGGUCAGCGGCAGACGGGUGAGUAACGCGUGGGAACGUACCAUUUGCUACGGAAUAACUCAGGGAAACUUGUGCUAAUACCGUAUGAGCCCCCCUUUAAAAUUUCAGGAAUCAUAAAAUGCCCUGGCAUUUUAUGGGGGGGAAAGAUUUAUCGGCAAAUGAUCGGCCCGCGUUGGAUUAGCUAGUUGGUGGGGUAAAGGCCUACCAAGGCGACGAUCCAUAGCUGGUCUGAGAGGAUGAUCAGCCACACUGGGACUGAGACACGGCCCAGACUCCUACGGGAGGCAGCAGUGGGGAAUAUUGGACAAUGGGCGCAAGCCUGAUCCAGCCAUGCCGCGUGAGUGAUGAAGGCCCUAGGGUUGUAAAGCUCUUUCACCGGUGAAGAUAAUGACGGUAACCGGAGAAGAAGCCCCGGCUAACUUCGUGCCAGCAGCCGCGGUAAUACGAAGGGGGCUAGCGUUGUUCGGAUUUACUGGGCGUAAAGCGCACGUAGGCGGGCUAAUAAGUCAGGGGUGAAAUCCCGGGGCUCAACCCCGGAACUGCCUUUG